rnacentral:rRNA from 1 species
CACGGUAAACGAUGGAUGCCCGCUGUGCGCCCAAUGCGGUGCGUGGCCAAGCGAAAGCGUUAAGCAUCCCACCUGGGGAGUACGCCGGCAACGGUGAAACUCAAAGGAAUUGACGGGGGCCCGCACAAGCGGAGGAACAUGUGGUUUAAUUCGAUGAUACGCGAGGAACCUUACCCGGGCUUGAACUGCAGCGGAAGGAUACAGAGAUGUUGACGCCCUUCGGGGCCGCUGUGGAGGUGCUGCAUGGUUGUCGUCAGCUCGUGCCGUGAGGUGUCGGCUUAAGUGCCAUAACGAGCGCAACCCUUUUCUCUAGUUGCCAUCACGUGAUGGUGGGCACUCUGGAGACACUGCCACCGUAAGGUGUGAGGAAGGUGGGGAUGACGUCAAAUCAGCACGGCCCUUACGUCCGGGGCUACACACGUGUUACAAUGGGUGGUACAGAGAGUCGGAUGUACGCAAGUGCGUUCUAAUCCUUAAAGCCGUCCUCAGUUCGGAUUGGGGUCUGCAACCCGACC